rnacentral:lncRNA from 10 species
CUCGUCUCUUCCGCAGGCAGUUUUUUCCACGGGCUUCCAUGAGGCAGGUUUUAGACGACAGAAUUCUAGCCCUUUAGGAAUGAAAGAGAAAUCAGGGCUUUCUCUCCGUGCCACGGUGGUGAGGCGAGUAUUCUAUCGAAGCCCACGCUUGGCACGUUUGCUUGUCUCCCGGGCCAUUGGAACCGUGUGAUCCAUAAGGCGCCUGAGCGCGCGUUUGGUCAGAGGGGCUCGGUCACUCGCCAGGGGAAACCCUGGGUGCGGGAGCUUCCUCUGCAUUUGGGCUGCACCUUGAUAGACUCAGAACCUACAGGGAAAGAUGACGGCUAACUCCGCCGACCUCUCAACCGGGAGAGCCCCAGAGAGGAAGCAGAUUUGUCUCCUGGACUAUCGAAGUGUCCCGGUGGCAAGCUAAGCGGAAAGCUAGUAAGUGGGGAGAACCUGGCUGGAACAACCGGGUGUUCAUCGGGAAUUCAGAGGCUGUGCCGACCCUCCAGGGAGCCAGUGCCCGACCUGUCCUCCGGGUGGGGACUGAGGAUGCAGAGAAUGGCUCAAUCGGCUGCACGAGAGGCCCUGCCCUGUGGGCGCUGAGCAGUAGCCAUGGUCCCCUGCCGGGUCGGCAGAGUUACCUUUGCUGCUGCAUCCAUGAAAGACCCUUUCUCCUUGAGCUAGUCGGGGAACCCACGGUGGCCAAGGAAAUGCACCACCUCCUUCUACAGACACUUUCCUCCUGGCUGCAGGGGCUUUCUGGCACUGUGUUGGGAGUAAGCAAUGUGGAGUCAUCUCUUCCCCCAGAGAAACGCUGACAAGUAUUAGCUCACAGACAUGUGUGCACAAAGAUGGAUGCUCACAGUUGUCCGUUGGAGCACUGUUUGAAGCAGCAAAAGGAACCAAUUCAACUUUCCCUGAGUAGGAAAAUGGCUAAAUAAAUGCAAGAAGCCCCUUGCCAGAAGCAAGCCUCAUGACUUAGGACUUUCCAGCCUCCAGAAUUGUAAGAAAUAGAUUUCUGUACUUCAUAUAAAAAAGUAUGAUGUGAUUGAUGCUU